rnacentral:rRNA from 1 species
CAAUAGCGUAUAUUAAAGUUGUUGCAGUUAAAAAGCUCGUAGUUGGAGUUCAGAUUGAGCUCGGCCGGUCGGCCUAAUUGGUCAGAACUGGUUGACUCUGUCUUGUUUGUGGAUCCCUCCGGAGUUAACUCUUCGGAUGUGGAAUCCACAUCGUUUACUUUGAAAAAAUCAGAGUGUUUCUAGCAGGCAGCUCGCUCUUGCAUAGGUUAGCAUGGGAUAAUUUAAUAGGACUCUGGUGCUAUUUUGUUGGUUUCGAACACCGGAGUAAUGAUUAAAAGGGGCAGUCAGGGGCACUCGUAUUCCGUCGAGAGAGGUGAAAUUCUCAGACCAAUGGAAGACGAACCACUGCGAAAGCAUUUGCCAGGGAUGUUUUCACUGAUCAAGAACGAAAGUUAGGGGAUCGAAGAUGAUCAGAU